GGAGCCCUGCAACGUUGAUCUGGACAGACGAGGUUCUGUAUACAAACCCCAGCAGCCAGUCCCCCCUAGGAGCAGAGCAGAAGAAGAGUGUGAAUAAAUCCUGUUGCCAAACCAAUCAAUAUGUGACUACUCAGACCACAAGGAGAGUAGAAGGGCUGGGAAGCACAGGGAUGUCUGGACCAAGACCCGCUGCAGCUUUGUCUGAUGUAGGAAUCGGAGCAGUUGCCAAAUUCAGGGCAGGCUCCUGGGACACAGUAGUGUAAGUCUGAAUUUAAUCCUGAUUCACAGGUGUAGUUUCAUUUUAUGCAGUGGGUUUAAGAAUCUGCCCCUUCUAUUUAUUUCUGCAUUUUCUUAGAGAUUGCAGUACAUUCACAUAUUUAAUCUUUUUAAUGUACUAAUAGGUAGAAGUUCUCCAGCCUGUAGACAGCUGUAAACGUGAUGAGGCCUACAAUACCAGUGUUGCUGACAUAAAUACCGCCUGUGAAGCUCCUUGGAGUGCUCCUGAUUUAUAGGCUCUCAAGCAGAGAUUCCUCCAGGACUUCCAGCUCCUCCAAGGGGAUUCUCAGCAGCCAGAUGAUGUGGCAGAUCAACACCCUCGCUCGAGCAUCGUAAUACCCUUAAACAGAGGGAAGCCCAGGAAAUCAAUCAGUUUUCAUCGCACUAGAUUAAAUAGCGAGCGGUGAGCCCAGCUGUGAUAGAGGACCACGUCACACACAAGCAUAGCUCCUUCCCUCCAGCCCUCUUCAUCUUCCAUUUACUUGAAGACAACUCCUACUAUCUAGAGAAGAGUGCGAUAAAUGGAAAAUCCUUCUUCCCUGCGAAUAGAGUCACUACACCAGGGGCGGGUGAAGAUACCAGCGAGACCCAACUACAUACUCUGAUACCCGCUGCACGUAGAUCAAAUAUGGCAUUUGGCAAUCUAGCAACAAGUGAUCUGCAGAAAAUUUGCUAGGCUGAGAUUUUCAUAGCAGCUUCACUGCCUUCCUGAAGGAAGAGUUGCCUCCUCCCCUGAAACACUGCAGAAAAAACACCCCAGUAUUUCACUUACGACCUUUUCUACCGUCACAUAUAAUUGUAUGCCCAUAUACGACGUGAAGGUGCCUCAAUUCUCUGCCUCAGAGCAAAAUACUGCAUGCUCACACUGAUCGAGGGACGCUUUUGUAAAAGCGCAAGGAGACCUUAUGCAACAUAAGCUCGCAAAAAGUACAAGCUAAACUUCCACAAAAUUUCACCCUUAAUUGACUCAGCAUCGAUGCAGGAAGACUUGCCUAAUUCUAGAGAAUCCAUCCUGAAGCAGAGAAAAAGAGGGAAACGACCCAGGAACUACCAAGCCAUCUAGACGCAGGAAGAACUGAGUAUGGAUUUAUUGAUUUUGAGCAAACAACAUCAAAACUGGUGCUCUUUUUGUAGAAUAGCUGGCCUAACUUAUUAAUUAAGUUUAAGAUUGUCUGUCACUGUACUCAUACUGUUAUAUGACUUUGGGCAUUGUAACGUUUGGAUGUUUGGUGCAGAUCCUCUGAGGCCUUUUAUGGACUUAUUAGAAGACACAAAAGAUGGCUGAGAUAAUGGGAGCUGGUCAUGAUGACCAACAAAGUUCACUCCUAUCAUAUCUUUACUUACACAGCCUUGUUCUCGCAUCUGCUGUUCUCUUGGGCCGUUGCUAAAGGUAUGUGAUAACUAUUACUCAAUAUCAGAGUACUGUCUGCACGCAGGAUGCCUCACUAUUUCCUUGUGCACGGUACAGAGCAAAGGGUGUGAGGUGACAGUGGCCACGUUAAGCCUGGCACCAGCAGCAGCCUACCCCGCUCUUCGCCCUGCACAGCAUAAUGUGAGCCUGGAUGAGGAGAUACCCUCCCCAGCAAAGCUCAAUGCCACCAAAGUGCUUCGCCUCUGUUAUCUUCACGUCAGCUUUUACAUCAGAACAUGACAGAGUAGCGCCAGUCUCACUAAUACUUUCUCAGUGAAAGAAAAUAAAGUCACAAUAACUUAUUUCCUUUCGGCCAAAGCUGACUCUGGAAAAAAGACUCUGGAAAUUGUGCUAUUUGGAGCAUGUACCUAGAGGUGUUCUGUAUUACAGGUAUGAUGAAAGGGCUUUGAAACAAAUGAAAAUCAGGUCUAUCACAUUCAGCAUUUCACCAAAAUCUGUAGAACGCAUAUAUGAAUCAAAACCACUGCAAUAAUACAGUCAAAGUAAAAAGUUUGACAGUUCUCUGUUCUGUAGAGCAAAGGCACCAAAGACACAAAACAUUAAUUCAGCAGACAGUAACAUGCCUCACGUUCAUCACUUCCAUGAGCUGUUAAUGGAUAGAGAGACUGCCAGGCACCCACACAGCUGCUCAGAAAUAUAUGCAUAUCAGAAAUAUUGAUUUGCUUCCCUGACUGUACAAACAGAAUUUUGGUUGCAGACAGACACGUGCGACAAAUCUCUUUAACAAAAGCAAACAAGGGCGAGGGGAGCAUACGAACUUACCUGGGUAAUGGCAACUGGGUUUUCUUUCACGAUGGGAUCCUUCAGCAAUAUCUGCGCAAAAGUUUCUGUGCCCUCACCU